GAGCGGGCGGCGGCGGCCCGCGCGGCACCGGUGGCGGCCCGGGCUCCUGCCGCCGCGACGGAGGCGUUACAGCUAGUGAACCAGCCCGAAGGACGGGGAGGAGAACUUCCCAGCAAGGCAGCUGGGAAGGCUCAGGAGUGCAGCUAGCGAAAGCAAGGGCGUUUGAGGCACCGUGAGCGAGGGCCUGGAGCCGGGGCAGCCCCUAACGAUCCAGCAGAAACACAGGCCUCGGGCUGUGCUGAGGAGAGGGUUUAACGCGCUGUAUGGAAGAACCAACUGCUGGUUUUGCUUUGCUUAAAAAAAAAUAGUGUUCCAAUUCCUACAUAGUCUGUUGAAAAAUGAAAUUAGUUUUGAAAGGUAAAUGCAUCAAACACGCCAAAGUUCUGCCGACUCUGUGGCACAAACCUUUCCAACAGUGCAGUUGAUGCUAAUUUUUAACUGGAGGAGGGAGACAUGUACCAACGCCAAUACUAAGAUGUGUCCGCAUCCUCCCAGCAGACACAAGACCCAGCGUUUUCUGUUCCUGUAGGACAUCCCGAAUUGAGGGCUGGAAGAAAUUCAAGCAAAGAAUCCAGCACGCUGGCUGUGGCCAUCAGGCGAAUCGUAUCGUGAACGCCACUGACUCCACUGAGUAUGCCUGCAUCAGUUACAGCAAGAAACCUGGAUACCUCACUUAGCAAUAAACACCUCGUGGGAGACUGAAAAUCCUUACAAGAAGCUCCCUCUGUGUCAACAGUAGCACCAGUUUCAGAAGCCAUGACUGAAGGAGGGCAGACAAGGAUCAACUAAUGCACCUUUUGAAUCUUCAUGAUACAUAUGCUAUCACAUCUCUAAGACAACAGUCUUCUCUCAGGAGAGCAAGAGAUGAGGAAACAAAUGAGUAAGCUUUCCAAAAAUACAAGAUAUUUUAUCUCCAAAGUAAGACAUCAGUGUAGUUGUACAAAAUAACUAAACUGGCAUCAUAAAUUUGCUUUCUACCGUAAAAAGAAGGAUAGGAAUGUUAUGCACAAAAUGGAAGAAUGGAUACUUUCAUAAGCAUAAUAGCAGACAACAUGUAAAGCAUCAGUCCUUUCUUCCCCACUAUCUACCUGUCACAUCAGCUAUCACAUAAUUAGUGUCUCGCAGGAUACCUUCCUAUCAUCUGCUUUCUUUUUGCUCCCCAAUUUGAAGUUAAGUGAUAGUCCUAGGUCCUCUACAAAGGCAUCCUGUGAGUUGAGUGCAUGUUUUUUUAUAUGAUGACACUUCUACUUGACUCUUAGCUCAAGUUAAGAGCUUUGCAAGCAGAGGUGGCACUACUGCAACACGUCAUGUGUAGGGCGCAGUGGCACUAAUGCAGAUCUUAGUGAACAAGGCAGGGAGGAAUGGCUGCUCUCUACAGCAUCUCCACAGCAGCAUCAAAACAUUUAACAUGUACAUCUUAAAGAACAGCAUCAACUGAAAAAGCUACAUAAACUAAGUGAUGUGUACUCAGUGUAUCCAUUCAGAAAUAGAAAUUUGUCACAUUUAUUUAAGUGAGGUCUGGUUUUGUUCAGCAUUUGCAUAAAUUUAGCUCAAAGUUAAAAAAACAGAAAAAAAAAAGCUGGCAUAAAAUGCAAAAUACUGUCAAGAAUCCUAUUGAUUAUUUUCAGCCCUACAUUUUCUUUGAGCUCUAGUAAUAAAAAGUUGUCUGUGAGAUCUUUGUUCUCCAGAGCAUUCCCACAGAACUCUCUACUAUAAGUAAUUAUUUGUAAGUCUAUGCAUUCAAUGUAUUCUUUUUCCUACUUAUAGAAGCCACAAGUAGUUAAGAACCUAAAUGUGCUAACAUUUGCUUGUUAAAUAUAUACUUCUUGUGAUACACAAUUUACAAACUGUGGUAAGUGUUAAUGUGGAACAUACUGUGAUAGUCAGGGUAUUUAAGGCAGAAGUAAUUUUCUAAUUAAGGGGUAAGGUAA